rnacentral:rRNA from 1 species
UAGGGGAUCUUGCACAAUGGGGGAAACCCUGAUGCAGCGAUGCCGCGUGAGUGAAGAAGGCCUUUGGGUUGUAAAACUCUUUCGUCGGGGAAGAAAAUGACGGUACCCGAAUAAGAAGGUCCGGCUAACUUCGUGCCGGCAGCCGCGGUAAUACGAAGGGAUCUAGCGUAGUUCGGAAUUACUGGGCUUAAAGAGCUCGUAGGUGGUUAGAAAAGUUGGUGGUGAAAUCCCAAGGCUUAACCUUGGAACUGCCAUCAAAACUUUUUAGCUUGAGUGUGAUAGAGGAAAGUGGAAUUUCUAGUGUAGAGGUGAAAUUCGUAGAUAUUAGAAAGAACACCAAAAGCGAAGGCAACUUUCUGGAUCACUACUGACACUGAGGAGCGAAAGCAUGGGUAGCGAAGAGG